AGAGCCAACAAGAAGGGGCAGAGGAAAACUGCCCUCCCUCCCACGAUAAACAACACAAUCGGGGCGACGACGCGUCUUCGGGAGAGGAUGAGAGGAGAGGGGAGGACAAGGAGAGGCCUGGCGGCGGCUAGGGAGGUGCUCGCCGGCGAGCGGGCUCCGGCGGCCGCCUGGCGCGCGGAGUUGGAUCGGGGCGCUUCCCCGCGGCCGCGACCGUACUCGCGACGCCACCUACCCCGCCGCCUGCCGCUCCUACCCACGGGACGCUACCGCUCCGCUCCUCCUCCCAACGCGACGCUGCCAGCCCCAAGAGCGCCCACCCCGUCGGCCCUUCCCGUCACCCGGUCGCUGCAGCAGUGCCCUCCUGAUGGCCCUCGCCGGCCCUCCCCGCCGUCUCCGCGUCGUACACGCCGUCUCCCAAUCCGCAGCCAGGGGACACGCCAGCGCGCUCCCGGUGGCCCUCGCCAACCCUCCCCGCAGUCUCCGCGUUGUACCCGCCGUCUCCCCAAUCCUCAACCAGGGAACACGUCAAGAAUCUUCAGUCACGCGGCCGCCGCGCCGGAGGUCUUCCAUCUCAGCGAUGCACAUCUUUACUGUCGAGUUUAUAGUCAUCAAGCAGUCCUUAAUUUUAAGAUGAUAUCAACAUUUAUAUUCCUGGUUAUAGGGUGUUGUCAAGAAUUUCAUCACACCCACUACUUUCCCACCGAGGUAGUUUCCGCCUCCACUCUCCAGCCAUGCACAAGUGUCGUCACCUACAUCUCCUCUAUGCGUUCCUGUCUCUCCAUUCCGCACGAGGAUGCAGUCAUCACAUCCUUGAGUAGUUUGCAGGUGUUUCUUGUAGUGAUGUUAACCCCAUAAAAAAGGACUCGCAGGUGGACAUCUGAUAUAAAUAAUCAGUGGAAGACUUCUCUUUUUGAUUGACUCUGCAUCUAAAGAAGAGUAAGCAUGUAGAGGAAUUGGUGGUCCACCUUGCUGCUGCAAAUGGACUGCCCGAUUUUAUCCAUGUGUUGGACUAGAUGAUAUUUGAUGAUUUGAACCUUGCAACGGGGCGUGAGACUGCAGCAUGCUGUGUACAUAAGCAGGGAGUUGAGGGGCAGAACUGAAGGUAGACUCAGGUGCAGUUAUCCACUCCUUCUUGCUUUCACUAGAAGAGCGUAUUACGCGGUGAAAGCAAGAUCAUGCUGUACAGGCAUGCAGCUGUGAGAAAUACAGUGAUGGCUCCGUCUGAGUUCUCUAGCCCUCUGCAAUUACAGGUUUGGGUGCACACUCCGCAGAUGAUGAUGGUUCAGCAGAGAUAGCAUUGCUCUGUGUUACAUAACUAUGUUCUGUCAGUCAAGUAUCGUUACGAUGCAAUAGGCAGAGGCUUCAAAAUCAUCUGCGGAGUAAGCGAUAGGAAGCCGUUGUGCAAUAAAUGUGCUCAUAUAGACGAACGCCGUUGGUACAAAAUCUCGAUCACAUCGGCCCAUAUCAUCAGCGCACAUCAGAGCCGGCUUACCAAUGUCGGAUGUCAUCGGUUUUAUUACUCCACAGAUGUGGGUCAUCGGCCAAGAGAAAAGAUGGGAUAACAAAUAUUAUGGAUACAAGAUGGCAGCAUAUAACUUUGCAAUUUUAUGAUUUGUGAUCCGGUAGAUUUUUGCCAUGCGGAGGGCUGAUGAUUCUGGCUAUAUGCACUGGAGUUUAAGCCAUGUUUGUGAACUAAUUAGAUAUCUAUCUAUGUGAAUUUGGAGAUACAUAUGUGUUUAAGAUGAUUUGAGAGUGCCCUUACCGGUCAUGCUAUGUUCUAAUUUGUGUUCCUUUUUUACUUAACUGACAUGUAUUUUCACCAUUAAAUGUAAUAAUUACUAUUGGCUGUGUUCCAUAGUGCAAUACACAAUGAAUGGGAUUUUCCUUGGCAUGAGAUGAGAUGCCAUCGAAUUACUAA